rnacentral:rRNA from 1 species
CGAGGUAACCAAACUGUUGGAAAUGACUGCUAAUACCGGAUGAUCUCGACAGGUGACAGAUUUAUCGUCAAAGGAUGAGCCCGCGUUGGAUUAGCUAGUUGGUGGGGUAAAGGCUCACCAUGGCGACGAUCCGUAGCUGGUCUGAGAGGAUGAUCAGCCACACUGGGACUGAGACACGGCCAAGACUCCUACGGGAGGUGAGCACUGGGGAAUAUUGGACAAUGGGCGCAAGCCUGAUCCAGCCAUGCCGCGUGAGUGAUGAAGGCCCUAGGGUUGUAAAGCUCUUUCACCCGUGAAGAUAAUUACGGUACCCGGAGAAUAAGCCCCGGCUAACUUCGUGCCAACAGCCGCGGGAAUACGAUGGGAGCUAGCGUUGUUCAGAUUUACUGGGCGUAAAGCGCACGUAGGCGGAUUUUUAAGUCAGGGGUGAAAUCCCGGGGCUCAACUCCGGAACUGCCUUUAUACUGGAUCUCUUGAAUCGGUAGAGGUGAGUGGAAUUCCGAGUGUAAAUGUGAAAUUCGUAGAUAUUCAGAAGAACACGAGUGGCGAAGGCGGCUCACUGGACUAUAUUGACACUGAUGUGCAAAGCGUGGAGAGCAAACGGAUUACAUACCCUGGUACUCACGCCAUACACGAU